GACGAACGCUGGCGGCGUGCUUAACACAUGCAAGUCGAACGGAAAGGCCCUGCUUUUGUGGGGUGCUCGAGUGGCGAACGGGUGAGUAACACGUGAGUAACCUGCCCUUGACUUUGGGAUAACUUCAGGAAACUGGGGCUAAUACCGGAUAGGAGCUCCUGCUGCAUGGUGGGGGUUGGAAAGUUUCGGCGGUUGGGGAUGGACUCGCGGCUUAUCAGCUUGUUGGUGGGGUAGUGGCUUACCAAGGCGUUGACGGGUAGCCGGCCUGAGAGGGUGACCGGCCACAUUGGGACUGAGAUACGGCCCAGACUCCUACGGGAGGCAGCAGUGGAGAAGAUUGCACAAUGGGCGGGAGCCUGAUGCAGCAACGCCGCGUGCGGGAUGACGGCCUUCGGGUUGUAAACCGCUUUCGCCUGUGAAGAAGAGUGAGUGACGGUAAUGGGUAAAGAAGCACCGGCUAACUACGUG
rnacentral:rRNA from 1 species